rnacentral:rRNA from 1 species
CCUACGGGAGGCAGCAGUGGGGAAUCUUGCGCAAUGGGCGAAAGCCUGACGCAGCCAUGCCGCGUGAAUGAUGAAGGUCUUAGGAUUGUAAAAUUCUUUCACCGGGGACGAUAAUGACGGUACCCGGAGAAGAAGCCCCGGCUAACUUCGUGCCAGCAGCCGCGGUAAUACGAAGGGGGGCUAGCGUUGCUCGGAAUUACUGGGCGUAAAGGGAGCGUAGGCGGAUAGUUUAGUCAGAGGUGAAAGCCCAGGGCUCAACCUUGGAAUUGCCUUUGAUACUGGCUAUCUUGAGUGUGGGAGAGGUUAGCGGAACUCCGAGUGUAGAGGUGAAAUUCGUAGAUAUUCGGAAGAACACCAGUGGCGAAGGCGGCUAACUGGCCCAUUACUGACGCUGAGGCUCGAAAGCGUGGGGAGCAAACAGGAUUAGAUACCCUGGUAGUCCACGCCGUAAACGAUGAGUGCUAGUUGUCGGCAUGCAUGCAUGUCGGUGACGCGAGCUACGACAUAAGACACUCCGCCGUCGGGAGGUACGGUCGGCGAAGAAGUUAAACGUAACGUAAAGUAGUUAAGUUAGUACGGUUACGUUGAGACGUUGCCGACGGACGACGACGAGGGAGGAGG